rnacentral:rRNA from 1 species
CAGGGGGGAAAAACAUGUUUCUGAGCGUUCUACGCGGGCAGCAGUGGGGAAUCUUGCUCAAGGGCGCAAGCCUGAUCCAGCCAUGCCGCGUGUAUGAAGAAGGCCUUCGGGUUGUAAAGUACUUUCACGGGGAGGAAGGGAGUGAAGUUAAUACCUUUGUUCGUUGACGUUACCCGCAGAAGAAGCACCGGCUAACUCCGUGCCAGCAGCCGCGGUAAUACGGAGGGUGCAAGCGUUAAUCGGAAUUACUGGGCGUAAAGCGCVCGCAGGCGGUUUGUUAAGUCAGAUGUGAAAUCCCCGGGCUCAACCUGGGAACUGCAUCUGAUACUGGCAAGCUUGAGUCUCGUAGAGGGGGGUAGAAUUCCAGGUGUAGCGGUGAAAUGCGUAGAGAUCUGGAGGAAUACCGGUGGCGAAGGCGGCCCCCUGGACGAAGACUGACGCUCAAGUGCGAAAGCGUGGGGAGCAAAGGAUUAGAUACCUGGGUAGUCCCAGGUUUAAUAAUUGGUAG